UACAGAGGGGGCAAGCGUUGUUCGGAAUUACUGGGCGUAAAGGGCGCGUAGGCGGCCCACUAAGUCGAACGUGAAAUCCCCGGGCUCAACCCCGGGAACUGCGUCCGAGACUGGAGGGCUCGAAUCCGGGAGAGGGAUGUGGAAUUCCAGGUGUAGCGGUGAAAUGCGUAGAUAUCUGGAGGAAUACCGGUGGCGAAGGCGGCAUCCUGGACCGGCAGUUGACG
rnacentral:rRNA from 1 species